rnacentral:rRNA from 1 species
AAUGAACGUUGGCGGCGUGGAUUAGGCAUGCAAGUCGAGGGAGAACCCGCAAGGGGGAAACCGGCGAACGGGGUAGGAUCACGUCGGUACGUACCCUCGGGACGGGGAUAGCCACGGGAAACUGUGGGUAAUACCCGAUGAUCUGGCGAAAGCCAGCAAAGGUGAGAUUCCGCCCGGGGAGCGGCUGACGCGCUACUAGCUUGUUGGUGAGGUAACGGCUCACCAAGGCGACGAUGGCUAGGGGGUGUGAGAGCAUGGCCCCCACCACUGGGACUGAGAUACUGCCCAGACACCUACGGGUGGCUGCAGUCGAGAAUCUUCGGCAAUGGGCGCAAGCCUGACCGAGCGACGCCGCGUGCGGGAUGAAGGUCUUCGGAUUGUAAACCGCUGUCGGGAGGGAUGAAGUGCAUGGGGGUUCUCCCCCGUGUUUGACAGAGCUCCGGAGGAAGCACGGGCUAAGUUCGUGCCAGCAGCCGCGGUAAUAC